CUCGUAGGCGGUUCGUCGCGUCCGGUGUGAAAGUCCAUCGCCUAACGGUGGAUCUGCGCCGGGUACGGACGGGCUGGAGUGCGGUAGGGGAGACUGGAAUUCCCGGUGUAACGGUGGAAUGUGUAGAUAUCGGGAAGAACACCAAUGGCGAAGGCAGGUCUCUGGGCCGUUACUGACGCUGAGGAGCGAAAGCGUGGGGAGCGAACA
rnacentral:rRNA from 1 species